rnacentral:rRNA from 1 species
UUAAAAAGCUCGUAGUUGUUCUUCUAAGGAUUGAAGUCGCCUCAUGGCUUGUAUUGAUAUCCUUAUCCGCUUUGAUUUAGCAAUACGCACUUUGGUUGAGCGAUUGUGUAAUCAAGCAAUUUACUUUGAAAAAAUUAGAGUGUUUCAAGCAGGCGAUUGCUGGAAUACAUUAGCAUGGAAUAAUAGAACACGACCUCUUAGGCAUUUUAUUGGCAUAUGACUGGAGGUAAUGAUUAACAGGGACAGUUGGGGGCAUUAGUAUUGCAUUGUCAGAGGUGAAAUUCAUUGAUUAGUGCGAGACUAACUUAUGCGAAAGCAUUUGCCAAGGAUGUUUUCAUUAAUCAAGAACGAAAGUUAGGGGAUCAAAGACGAUUAGAUACCGUCCUAGUCUUAACCAUAAACUAUACCGACUAGGGAUUAGUGAGGAGUAUUGUGCCUCAU